rnacentral:snRNA from 13 species
AGCUUUGCACAGUGGCAGUAUUGUAGCCAAUGAGGUUUAUCCGAGGCGUGAUUAUUGCUAAUUAAAAAAAAAAAAAAAAAAAAGACAAUCUCUGCCUUCACUAAGUGUACAAACUAGUAGAAGGAAGUAAGCAUUUUAACCAAAAAGUCCCACGAAGUUU